rnacentral:rRNA from 1 species
AUGGGGGAGAACCGGGCGGUGUUUCUCGGUCAGAAUAGGCUAUCGGGUAGAGUUCCAACAACAUUGUUUAAUCUAUCCAAGCUUAUAAUACUGGACUUGAGUACAAAUAAGCUAAGGGGCACAUUGCCAUACAAUAUCGGUAAUCUAUCUGUUUCGCUUCAAUGGCUACUUUUGGGUGCAAACAACUUGUCUGGGACAGUGCCACCGAGCAUUGGGGCCCUAAAGAACCUAACAGUUUUAGAUCUUGGAGGAAACAACUUCGUUGGACCUAUACCGUACUCCAUCGGCAAUCUGGCAAAGUUACAGAGGCUCUACCUUUCCAAUAAUCAUUUUGACGGUUGGUAA